UAAAUGGGGGAUUUUCGAAGAGAAAAUGCACGAUUUUCGUUUACAGGUGAGAUUUUUGUAGAGGAAAUGCGUGAUUUUUUGGAUACAUGGGGGAUUCCUGUAGCAAAACUGUUUGAUUUUGGGGUCCAAUGGGGGAUUUUGAAGAGCAAAAGUGUGAUUUUCGAGUUAAAUGGGGGAUUUUCCAAGAGAAAAUGCGUGAUGUUGGGGAUGAUGGGGUUUUUUGAAGAGAUAAAGCAUGAUUUUGGAGUAAAUGCGUACUUUCUGAGAGAAAAGGCGAGAUUUUGGGGUUAAAAGGGGGAUUGUUGACGGGAAAAUGCAUGAUUUUGGGGUUUAGGGGGGGAUUCUAGAAGAGAAAAAAAGUGAUUUUCGGGUUUAAGCUGCUAUUUUUGUAGAGAAUAUGCAUGAUUUUAAGUUUAAAUCAGGGAUUCUUGAAGAGAAAAUGUGUGAUUUUUGUUUAAAUGGGGUAUUUUGGAAGGGAAAAU
ensembl:lncRNA